rnacentral:rRNA from 1 species
UACGGGGGGGGCAAGCGUUGUUCGGAAUUACUGGGCGUAAAGGGCUCGUAGGCAGCCAACUAAGUCGGAUGUGAAAUCCCCAGGCUUAACCUGGGAACUGCAUCCGAUACUGGAUGGCUUGAAUCCGGGAGAGGGAUGCGGAAUUCCAGGUGUAGCGGUGAAAUGCGUAGAUAUCAGGAGGAACACCAAUGGCGAAGGCAGCUCGCUGGGACGUGACUGACGCUGAGACGCGAAAGCGUGGGGAGCAAAACGG